rnacentral:rRNA from 1 species
CCUACGGGUGGCAGCAGUGGGGAAUAUUGCACAAUGGGGGAAACCCUGAUGCAGCGACGCCGCGUGAGUGAAGAAGUAAUUCGUUAUGUAAAGCUCUAUCAGCAGGGAAGAAAAUGACGGUACCUGAGUAAGAAGCCCCGGCUAACUACGUGCCAGCUGCCGUGGUAAUACGCAGGGGGCAAGCGUUAUCCGGAUUUACUGGGUGUAAAGGGAGCGUAGACGGCAGUGCAAGUCUGGAGUGAAAGGCGGGGGCGCAACCCCCGGACUGCUCUGGAAACUGGACGGCUGGAGUGCAGGAGAGGUAAGUGGAAUGCCUGGGGUAGCGGUGAAAUGCGUAGAUAUUAGGAGGAACACCAGUGGCGAAGGCGGCUUACUGGACUGUAACUGACGUUGAGGCACGAAAGCGUGGGGAGCGAACAGGAUUAGAUACCCUGGUAGUC